UAAGGAAUAUUGGACAAUGGAGGCAACUCUGAUCCAGCCAUGCCGCGUGAAGGAAUAAGGCCCUAUGGGUUGUAAACUUCCUUUAGACGGGACAAAACCCCUUUACGUGUAAAGGGUUGAUGGUACUGUCAGAAUAAGCAUCGGCUAACUUCGUGCCAGCAGCCGCGGUAAUACGAAGGAUGCAAGCGUUAUCCGGAAUUAUUGGGUUUAAAGGGUGCGUAGGCGGACUAAUAAGUCAGUGGUGAAAGCCUGCAGCUUAACUGCAGAAUUGCCAUUGAUACUGUUAGUCUUGAGUACAGUUGAGGUAGGCGGAAUGUGUCAUGUAGCGGUGAAAUGCUUAGAUAUGACACAGAACACCGAUUGCGAAGGCAGCUUGCUAAGCUGUAACUGACGCUGAGGCACGAAAGCGUGGGGAGCAAACA
rnacentral:rRNA from 1 species